UACGUAGGGGGCAAGCGUUGUCCGGAAUUACUGGGCGUAAAGCGCACGUAGGCGGCUUUGUAAGUAAGGGGUGAAAGCCCAGAGCUCAACUCUGGAAUAGCCUUUUAGACUGCAUCGCUUGAAUCCAGGAGAGGUGAGUGGAAUUCCGAGUGUAGAGGUGAAAUUCGUAGAUAUUCGGAAGAACACCAGUGGCGAAGGCGGCUCACUGGACUGGUAUUGACGCUGAGGUGCGAAAGCGUGGGGAGCAAACAGG
rnacentral:rRNA from 1 species